GUUCUUCUGUGUAUGAUUUGUCAUGUUGUCUGUCUCGUUGUUGUUCAAUAAUUUCCAUUACAAGUUGAUCAGCAUAUUGCGUUCCAAAUUGGCAUGAUUGGCUUGCUAGUGGAACUAGUGUUGAAUUCCCUUGUGUUGAUCUGAUUGGCAUUACAUCGUGAAUUGUAGAUUCUUCUACAUUUGUCAAGUUAUGCAAGAUCGUUGUGCGUCCCAUUAUGUGUUCAAUAUCCACAAUCAGUGGGAAUUU
rnacentral:lncRNA from 1 species